rnacentral:siRNA from 1 species
GACCGCAUAGCGCAGUGGAUUA